rnacentral:tRNA from 1 species
GGAAAUUUAGUUCAGUUGGUCAGAACGUCCGGCUCAUAACCGGAAAGUCCAGGGUUCGAGUCCCUGAAUUUCCA